UCUACUGGUGGCAGCAGUGGGGAAUAUUGGGCAAUGGGCGCAAGCCUGACCCAGCAACGCCGCGUGAAGGAAGAAGGCUUUCGGGUUGUAAACUUCUUUUGUCAGGGACGAAGCAAGUGACGGUACCUGACGAAUAAGCCACGGCUAACUCAGUGCCAGCAGCCGCGGUAAUACGGAGGUGGCAAGCGUUAUCCGGAUUGAUUGGGUGUAAAGGGUGUGUCUGCGGGAAUGCAAGUCAGAUGUGAAAAUUAUGGGCUCAACCCAUAGCCUGGAGUUGACACUGUAUUUCUUGAGUUCUGGGGAGGCAAUCGGAAGUCGGGGUGUAGCGGUGAAAGGCGUAGAUAUACGGAGGAACACCAGUGGCGAAGGCGGAUUGCUGGACAGUAACUGACGCUGAGGCGCGAAAGCGUGGGGAGCAAACAGGAUUAGAUACCCCAGUAGUC
rnacentral:rRNA from 1 species